GUUCUGACUUUGCUGCAGAACAUGUCAGUUAGUGCUUGGCUCUAGCUGCACAUUUGAAUCGUAGAGGGAGCUUUUGAAAAACACUAAUGCCGGGGUCACCCCAGAUCAAUUGGAACUGACUCUCAGGUGGCAGGAGUGUGGAGGUGGGGAGAGGCAUGGAGCAUCUGUAUAUUUUAAGCUGUAUAGGGGGUUCUAAGGUGUAAGCCAAGAUUGAGAACCACCACCAUAAUAAAGUCCAGCCUAGGUCAGGGUCCUUAAACUAUCUCCUGCUGCAGCUGGAGCUUUAAUUGGAGGCCAUGAGUGUAGAGAGGAGUGGUGCAAGUAGAGGUUGGGUUAAACCUCUAAGAAUUUGGACAGAUGCUUAUCUCAGAGUGAAAGCUGAAGGCCUGUUGAUAGUCAAUAGCUGUCAGCUGCAUCCACACCCUGGCUUUGGGUGCCCUGUGAAGAGGGAGGUGGAAGGUAGGAAAGACAGCAGAAGAGAAGGCAAGGAGAGGCAGAAGCCAUGUUUCCGGCAAGAUCUCCCAGUGACACUCAUUCCUAAGGGGACUGGCACACCUGUCUGCCCCAGGAAUGUCAUGUGUCUUAUCCAACUAGCCAGGUCCCUGCCUUGGAUGUGUUAUUGCCUUCACCUGCCAGACUACCUGUCACUAAGUUUUUUGUCUGCAGGUUUCAUGAGUCUGGACUUUGUCUGACAAAGAACCCUCCCACCUGGAAAGAAAUGAAGAUCAAAAGCCCCUUCAGGAAUAUGUCCAGGUCUUCAGGCUCAGAGAAAGGGCCCCAGUUUGAAGAGCUGUCAGACUCAGACAGAUGCAGUGACAUUUGGAAAGUAAUUUGAAUUACCAGAGGACCAUGGAUAUUGGAUGGUUGGCAAAAAUGUCUCCCCCACACCUGCUGUCAGCACCAAUCAACCACUGGUCCAGCUUCCUCCGGAGAGGAGCAUUGUCCUCACUUACGUUUUGGUGUCUUGCGGACUUGCAUCAUUUGGGCUGGCAGCCCGGGUGUGUUACUGGUAGUAAAUAAUAGCUUGCAACUGGGAUCAUCUGCAGGGGAGAUUCUGGGGUUUAGAAGGUCCAGCUUUGCUGGUUUUAGUUUUCCAGCAAAGGUGGGGGCUUGAGUACUUCCUUCAUGACCAUCACCAUCAUUGGGAGUUACCCAUCAUUACCAAAUGUGGGCACUAUCCUCCCCACCAUCCUACGACAUGGGUGCUAUAAGUCCUGUUUGAAGGAUUAGAAGCUGAAUUAAAUAAAGCAUCUUUCCUGGGGUCAGGCAACUGGAAAGUGGUGUAGCUGAGAUCAGUACUCACGUCUGCUGGUCACAUUCAUGACAUUUGCUUCCUCUCUUGUCACUGGGGCCAGCUGCCACUCCCUGUAUCAUCAGUCUGCUUAGAUGCUCUGGCCUCGCACUCUUUUUGUCUGGAAGCACAAGGAAAGGGAGUCUGGAGCUUGUUGGGAUGAUGGCAGCUCCUGGAAGACAGAGAGCAAGGCCCGCUUUUCACAUAGAUGAGCCAGGCUGCCACUUCUGUAGUGUUCAGGGGCACUGGCGUGACACUAUUGCUCUUGAAUUACUACUGCUCAUAUCCUC
rnacentral:lncRNA from 1 species